AUUUCUUUCGAUCCGUAACUACAUGUGUUGUCCAGAAGUUAUUUUUGCUCUCCACCCAACAGCAAGAUUUAAAAUAAAUAAAUAAAUUCUGGGCUAUUUUAGCCUAGAGAAAACAAUCUCCAUUUUGCAGAUGCAGAGAUUAACAUGUAGAAAAGGCGAUUCCUUAGCGAACGGUGGCAGGUUUGCGCCCGGUCGCAGCGGCUCAGCGUGAGGGUGUAAUGCUUGUGAUUCACUGUCUCAAAAGUACGCCUGAAACCCACUGUGUGUACCGACAUGUACACGACAACCCUGCCGUUCUGCCACGACACAACAAAAAUCGGUGCACGUUUGCUGUUUGCGAGCUUUGUCGUGUCUCUCCGUUAACUUCUGCGAAUACCUCUCCAAAUGGAGUACAGCAGUCGUACGCUAGGCGAUGGAUGGUCCCUGUUGUCAGAUAAGAUUCUGCGCGCUGUAACACCCCAGAGCCACUGCGGCCGGACUUCAGGCAUCACUCGCUCACGUUUCCCGAAAGCCCGCGCCCCUGAUCUCUGCAACAGUCCCAGACAGAUCCUAGCACGUGGUGCAGCGGACAGAGCAGAAUGGUGACAGGAUGAGGUGUCCGAUGGGAGGCCGUGCCGGUUUGGGGUCCGUGCCUGUAUCCGGAUGGUGACUGGUUUGAAUCUCACAUCUGGUCAAGUAAUCAUAUCGCUGUUGGUCGUUGAAGAAGGCUCUAACUUUCAAAAACUGUUCCUGGGUGCCUAAUA